rnacentral:rRNA from 1 species
GAUGAACGCUGGCGGCGUGCCUAAUACAUGCAAGUCGAGCGAACGGACGAGAAGCUUGCUUUUCUGAUGUUAGCGGCGGACGGGUGAGUAACACGUGGAUAACCUACCUAUAAGACUGGGAUAACUUCGGGAAACCGGAGCUAAUACCGGAUAAUAUUUUGAACCGCAUGGUUCAAAAGUGAAAGACGGUCUUGCUGUCACUUAUAGAUGGAUCCGCGCUGCAUUAGCUAGUUGGUAAGGUAACGGCUUACCAAGGCAACGAUGCAUAGCCGACCUGAGAGGGUGAUCGGCCACACUGGAACUGAGACACGGUCCAGACUCCUACGGGGGGCAGCAGUAGGGAAUCUUCCGCAAUGGGCGAAAGCCUGACGGAGCAACGCCGCGUGAGUGAUGAAGGUCCUCGGAUCGUAAAACUCUGUUAUUAGGGAAGAACAUAUGUGUAAGUAACUGUGCACAUCUUGACGGUACCUAAUCAGAAAGCCACGGCUAACUACGUG